AGAGUCUCAACCAGGCUGGAGUGCAGUGGCGUGAUCUCGGCUCACUGCAACCUCCGCCUCCCAGGUAUUUCAGGACAGCCAGGAGGGGGCGCACAUCCGCCGAGAAACUGUGAGCAAGAGCGUCUGUGCUGAACCAUGGCGCCACCAGAGGGCGCGCGAUCCCGCCCCAACCAACUUCCCGCUGAGGUGCCAGAAGCAGCGAGGAGCUUCAGCUUCCUCAGGGCAGCACGAGGGUCGUGUUAACUUGGUGUUCUUCAUUGGUUCCCCAACAGUUAUUGCUGUACCAGAUUUGCAGUGUCCCACAAAAUACUCCGGUAUGUUGUACUGAAAGCAUGGACACUCUCCCAGGUAACUACCACAUAACCCCUAGAUCAGGAAAUCAGCAUUGUUCCUCCAUGAUAAUUCGGUCCACAAACUCACUUCACUUUUACCUCAUGCCACACUUGGGAGUAUAAUGUGUAUUUUUUUUUUUUUCAUUAGGAUCCAGUUUUCUUUUCCUGGAACUGUUCCCCAGACUUUCCUGCGUAUUUAUGAC
rnacentral:lncRNA from 1 species